CGUGGCCGAGUGGUUAAGGCCAGAGAUUAGAAAUCUCUUGGAGUUCCUCCGCGCAGGUUCGAGUCCUGUCGUUGCC
rnacentral:tRNA from 1 species